rnacentral:misc_RNA from 1 species
AAUCGAUACCUUCCAUUUUUACUUCAAAUAGAAUUACUCUAAAGUUACUUUAUAAUUGAAGACGAUUUCGAAUGAAACAGUGAUUCUGCAAAAUUUUAACAAUUUCUCGGUAAUCGUUCGUGUUCCGAAUUUCCCGCCAAUGUCCUAUUACUCGAACGAGAAUCUACUUAGAAAGGAAACUGUAGCUUUUCUAAGAAAUCGCUUAUCGCGAAUCAGUUCCUCCACUUUGAUAUCCAAUUUAUGUAGGAAGGAUGUAGUCGUUUCCCGAUGUCCUUCCUUUUUACUUUUUCCCAUCUUGUGGCUCUCCUCCGCUUUCGAUGCUCGUCCCCGCCGUAAAAGGACUCGCUUCGAGGCCACGAUCACUACCGCACCGGCUGAAAAUGAAAGGAGAAACGUGUUAGCGAUGCCUGCUGGCUACAUUGGCCGCGCUUUUCACAUCUCGUCUCUUUGCCCGUUUUUUUUCUUUUUCUUCCUUUUUUUCAUUGCCCUGUCUUGAUAGAUCUCGAGUGUGCCCCGGGUAUUUUGCUCGACUACGCAGAUACAGGAAUUUUAACAGCGGAAUUAUCGUCGAUUAGACCGUACUCCUGUUUGUACUGUGGAACCUCGAUAACUUGGGAACCUCAAGAACCUCUACACGUAUCGAGAUUUCGUUCGUUUUCUUCGGAUCCGCUGUGAAAACCUCUAUAAAUCGAGAUGCCAGGCUCGCUUUGUCUCGAUUUAUUCGUCACGCGCUUAAGCGCGUCGCUUUACAAGCAGCCGAUCUCUGCACGUUCGAGCUUAUCUCCAUGGGGAAACUUAACGCUAAUCUUAUCAAGCUCGGUCGAAUGACCGGUUUUCAAAUUUCUUUUAAAAUUGUACAGUCAUUGAGGUUUCUUUUAUUCGUCUAACUUUAUGCAGAUUCUUCUAUUAACGAAAAUCGAGAAAUUGAUUAAUCAGAUGAUAUGAGAAUUUAUGUGGAACUGAUAUCAAAUUGAUGUCGAAUCGAUACAAUUAAACAAAUUUAGCACGAGCAGAAGACAUUUAUGUUCGUAAUUCAUGUAAAACCAAGACCAAUUUCUGAAAUGAAUAAAUAUAUACACGUACGUACAAUUAAAAAACGAUGCGACCUAUGCAAAUUCUGCAAGCCUUCGAUUUUCCAACCUAAUCUGUCUCUUGCUGCGGAAACAUCGAUAUAAUAAAGAGAAUGAAAUUCCCGAAAUAAGACACGAGCGAAGCGUGACAAACCCAUUCUUCUCGAUCUCUCGAUUUUCAACAAACCGGAUUAGGUUCGCGAAUAUAAGUUUAUAAGACAGAAGAUAAA